rnacentral:rRNA from 1 species
AGAGUUUGAUCCUGGCUCAGGACGAACGCUGACGGUGUGCUUUAGGCAUGCAAGUCGAACGAGAAAGCCCUUCGGGGUGAGUAGAGUGGCGAACGGGUGAGUAACACGUGGGCAACCUGCCCCUCGCAGGGGGAUAACCGGAGGAAACUCCGGCUAAUACCCCGUAAGCUUUCAGAGUCGCAUGGCUCUGUAAGGAAAGGUAGCUUCGGCCAUCCGGCGAGGGAUGGGCCCGCGGUGCAUUAGCUAGUUGGUGGGGUAAUGGCCCACCAAGGCGACGAUGCGUAGCCGGCCUGAGAGGGUGACCGGCCACACUGGGACUGAGACACGGCCCAGACUCCUACGGGAGGCAGCAGUGGGGAAUAUUGCGCAAUGGGCGGAAGCCUGACGCAGCGACGCCGCGUGGGGGAUGACGGCCUUCGGGUUGUAAACCUCUUUCAGCAGGGACGAAGCGAAAGUGACGGUACCUGCAGAAGAAGCACCGGCCAACUACGUGCCAGCAGCCGCGGUAAUACGUAGGGUGCAAGCGUUGUCCGGAAUUAUUGGGCGUAAAGAGCUCGUAGGCGGUUUGUUGCGUCGGCUGUGAAAUCCCGAGGCUCAACCUCGGGUCUGCAGUCGAUACGAGCAAACUAGAGUGUUGCAGGGGAGACUGGAAUUCCUGGUGUAGCGGUGAAAUGCGUGA